rnacentral:rRNA from 1 species
UACGUAGGCAGCGAGCGUUGUUCGGAGUUACUGGGCGUAAAGGGUGUGUAGGCGGUUUUUUAAGUUUGGUGUGAAAUCUCCCGGCUCAACCGGGAGGGUGCGCCGAAUACUGAGGGACUUCGAGUGCGGGAGAGGAAAGUGGAAUUCCUGGUGUAGCGGUGAAAUGCGUAGAUAUCAGGAGGAACACCGGUGGUGUAGACGGCUUUCUGGACCGUAACUGACGCUGAGACACGAAAGCGUGGGUAGCAAACAGG